AUCGAUGAAGAACGCAGCGAAAUGCGAUAAGUAAUGUGAAUUGCAGAAUUCAGUGAAUCAUCGAAUCUUUGAACGCACAUUGCGCCCCUUGGUAUUCCGGGGGGCAUGCCUGUUCGAGCGUCAUUUCAACCCUCACGCGUAGCGUGGUCUUGGGCUCUGCCGGCAACGGCUGGCCUUAAAAUCAGUGGCGGUGCCAUCGAGCUCUACGCGUAGUAAUAAACCCCUCGCGUGUGAGUCUCGGCGGUCGCUUGCCAGCAACCCCCAAUUUUUUAUGGUUGACCUCGAAUCAGGUAGGGAUACCCGCUGAACUUAAGCAUAUCAAUAAGCGGAGGAAAAGAAACCAACAGGGAUUACCUCAGUAACGGCGAGUGAAGCGGUAACAGCUCAAAUUUGAAAUCUGGCUCUUUCAGGGUCCGAGUUGUAAUUUGUAGAAGAUGUUUCGGGUGUGGCUCCGGUCUAAGUUCCUUGGAACAGGACGUCGUAGAGGGUGAGAAUCCCGUAUGUGACUGGCUGCCUCCGCCCAUGUGAAACUCUUUCGACGAGUCGAGUUGUUUGGGAAUGCAGCUCAAAAUGGGUGGUAAAUUUCAUCUAAAGCUAAAUAUUGGCCAGAGACCGAUAGCGCACAAGUAGAGUGAUCGAAAGAUGAAAAGCACUUUGGAAAGAGAGUUAAACAGUACGUGAAAUUGUUGAAAGGGAAGCGCUUGCAAUCAGACUUGCGCGCGGCCGAUCAUCCGGGGUUCUCCCCGGUGCACUCGGUCGCGUUCAGGCCAGCAUCGGUUUGGGUGGUGGGAUAAAGGCCUUGGGAAUGUAGCUUCUUUCGGGGAGUGUUAUAGCCCUCGGUGCAAUGCCGCCUAUCCAGACCGAGGACCGCGCUUCGGCUAGGAUGCUGGCGUAAUGGUUGUAAGCGACCCGUCUUGAAACACGG
rnacentral:rRNA from 1 species